rnacentral:rRNA from 1 species
AACGAACGCUGGCGGCAUGCCUAACACAUGCAAGUCGAACGAGACCUUCGGGUCUAGUGGCGCACGGGUGCGUAACGCGUGGGAACCUGCCCUUAGGUUCGGAAUAACUCCCCGAAAGGGGUUCUAAUACCGGAUAAUGUCUUCGGACCAAAGAUUUAUCGCCUUUGGAUGGGCCCGCGUUGGAUUAGCUAGUUGGUAGGGUAAAAGCCUACCAAGGCGACGAUCCAUAGCUGGUCUGAGAGGAUGAUCAGCCACACUGGGACUGAGACACGGCCCAGACUCCUACGGGAGGCAGCAGUGGGGAAUAUUGGACAAUGGGAGAAAGCCUGAUCCAGCAAUGCCGCGUGAGUGAUGAAGGCCUUAGGGUUGUAAAGCUCUUUUACCCGGGAUGAUAAUGACAGUACCGGGAGAAUAAGCUCCGGCUAACUCCGUG